rnacentral:rRNA from 1 species
AUGAACGCUGGCGGCGUGCCUAAUACAUGCACGUCGAGCGAACAGACGAGGAGCUUGCUCCUCUGACGUUAGCGGCGGACGGGUGAGUAACACGUGGAUAACCUACCUAUAAGACUGGGAUAACUUCGGGAAACCGGAGCUAAUACCGGAUAAUAUAUUGAACCGCAUGGUUCAAUAGUGAAAGACGGUUUUGCUGUCACUUAUAGAUGGAUCCGCGCCGCAUUAGCUAGUUGGUAAGGUAACGGCUUACCAAGGCAACGAUGCGUAGCCGACCUGAGAGGGGGAUCGGCCACACUGGAACUGAGACACGGUCCAGACCCCUACGGGAGGCAGCAGUAGGGAACUUCCCGCAAUGGGCGAAAGCCUGAGGGAGAAACGCCGGGUGGGUGAUGAAGGUUUUCGGAUGGUAAAACUCUUUUUUUGGGGAAAAAAAAAUGUGUAAGUAACUAUGCACGUUUUGACGGUACCUAAUCAGAAAGCCCCGGCUAACCACGU